UACGGAGGGUGCAAGCGUUAAUCGGAAUUACUGGGCGUAAAGCGCGCGUAGGUGGCUUGAUAAGCCGGUUGUGAAAGCCCCGGGCUCAACAUGGGAACGGCAUCCGGAACUGUCAGGCCAGAGUGCAGGAGAGGAAGGUAGAAUUCCCGGUGUAGUGGUGAAAGGCGUAGAGAUCGGGAGGAAUACCAGUGGCGAAGGUGGCCUUCUGGACUGACACUGACACUGAGGUGCGAAAGCGUGGGUAGCAAACAGG
rnacentral:misc_RNA from 1 species